GUUCUACUUUGUUCCACGGGCUCCUCCGCUCCCGGCGGCGGCGGGCAUAAACCCAGAGAACCAAGCCCUGCCUUCCAGGAGUUGCUCACUUUGUACUUUUCCCUGCCUUGUCACGAAAAACUGAUCGCGAUCGUUUCUAGAAACAAGUAUUUCUCCUGCUGUACGGUCCCAAGGUUGAGGGCGCGGGGAUCCCGGCGGCGGGACAAAGCGGGACGAGGCUGUGGGAGGGGGCGCUACCGGGGCGGCCCGGGAGCCGGACUUCUGAAGCCACCAAACCCGCUGCUAAGCACUCCCGCUGGGGUUCGGAGGGCGCUCGAUGGGCACCAAACAUCUCCCCCCUCUGGAAGGAACCGCCGGGAAGCGCGUCCAACUUCGGAAACCGCGGGCUUCCCCGCGGCAGGGGAGGGCCGAGCCCAGCCCCUCCUCCCCGCCGCCGCGCUGGGGGCGCCUUCCCGGCCGACCCGCGGCCGCCGCCCCCGCGCAGGCGCCGGGGGCCCGGGUUCGAGGCUGCGGACUCCCCUCGGGCAGCGAGCUGCUCCCGGCUCCACAAAUCGCUCGGCCGCCGCCGGGCCGCCGCCCACCCCGGGACUGAAGGUAACGCGCCGCGGAAACGUGGCAGGAGCCUCGAGGCGGCGGCGCCCCGUCCCGCUCCCGCCGGGGGUCGCGCGGCAGCCCUCGCCGGCCGCCCCCGACCCCCUACCUCCCUGCGCGCCGAGCCGGAGCCCAGGCAGCCGGCUCGAUCCGCACUGCUCCCCGGGCCCCGCGCGCCGCCCGCCCGCGAGCCCUCGACGUGGCCGCAGGGCCGCCGGACCCCCUCCCGCCGCUGCCCUCAGCCCCGCCAUGUCCGCCUACCCCCGCCCGCUCUCCUCACCACAGCCGCCGCCGCCGCUCGGGGGCUGCAGAUCGGGCGGCCCCGACCGUCUCCGAGGCGGGAACCGAGGGCGCCGCCUCAGCGGGCCGGCACUGGGCGGCAGGGAACGCGGCGAGUCUCGUCCGGCGCGUGCGGCUCCCGCGUCGUCGGACGGCUGA
rnacentral:lncRNA from 1 species